rnacentral:misc_RNA from 1 species
GCUACCAAGCAUAGGAACUGGAUUUGACUGUGAUUCUUUCUGCAGUGGCAAUGUUUGGGUACCCGCAACAACAGCAGACAGAUUUAUAUCUGAGGAUGCAAGCGACUUAUUCAAAUUGCCAAAUUGGAUGUCAGUGCCUAUUGCCUGGCUGCUGGAUUUUAACUGAUUAUAAACAGGAUUUCUGCUAAGGUCAACAGAGGCAUCUUCUAUGCGAAAUCCCAGUGAUUGUUCAAGGGUUCCAAAAUCUGCAAUUCGAGAUCGUAUACUAUUUCCUUCGGUGCCCAUGGUAUUGGAAGUGGGUAUUGGAGGAACGAAACUCGGCAUCUCCGUUACAGCAUUAUUAUCAUUUUGCCCACUAACAUUCACCCUUCUAGUACCCAUGAAUCACCAUCGCCGCCGCCGCCGCCGCCACAAGCAACUCCACCAAAUUUAUUAAACCAAGCAGACCCUUAUCAAAACCAACAAAAUCCCACUACCCAGAUAUACCCACUCCGCAAAAUACAAAUGAAAGAAUCACCGCAGCACCUCCAGUUCCGCAGAAUUGCCGAGCCAAAUACAACAACCCAAUCCAGAACACAAACCAAGUCACAAAACAAACCUUAAAACUUUAGCAACAAGAAAAAUAUCAUAGCCACCAAGGUUGUCCAUAACCCAAAGACAAGUAAGACAAACUGAACAAAGAAACUCUAUAGAACUCAAGAAACUUGUACCAAAGCUACCCACUAACGACAAAC